UGUCCCUACGGGGCGCAGCAGUGGGGAAUAUUGCACAAUGGGGGGAACCCUGAUGCAGCGACGCCGCGUGGGUGAAGGAGUACUUCGGUACGUAAAGCCCUAUCAGCAGGAAAGAAAAUGACGGUACCUGACUAAGAAGCCCCGGCUAACUACGUGCCAGCAGCCGCAGUAAUACGUAGGGGGCAAGCGUUAUCCGGAUUCACUGGGUGUAAAGGGAGCGUAGACGGCGACGCAAGUCUGGAGUGAAAGCCCGGGGCCCAACCCCGGGACUGCUCUGGAAACUGCGUCGCUGGAGUACGGGAGGG
rnacentral:rRNA from 1 species